rnacentral:lncRNA from 1 species
GGUGUUUUAGGGGGUUUUUGGGGCAUAUUUUUAGAGUCAUGUUCUAGUAUGUUUGGUCCCUUAUUUGAGUCCACCUGUGUAGGUUCGGACCCAAGGAACCGAGGACCCCAGCAGUGAGUUAGCUGCUUCAGUUCAUUGUCAGAGUUAGCCUGAGGUGAGUAGAAUAAACCUUAUGUUUUAAAUUAAUGCAAGUUUUAGCAAGAAUCAUGCAUCACGAAUGCCAUGUGAUAUAAUAGGUUGUUGCAUUAGAAUCCACGAAUAUGUUGCACUGCAUUCUUUGUUAUGGAUGUGGGUGAAUGCUGUAUGAUCCAAUUAGUCCCUGAGGAAAGACCAGGACCCCAUUCUACGGCCUGGCACGGUAUGAAAGACCAGGACCCCAUUCUACGGCCUGGCACGGUAUGGAACGCGAAGACCAGGUGCCCAGAUGAGGCCCUGGGGCAAUGGUAAGUAAUGUUAUGAUAUGACAGGAAGACCAAGACCCCAUUCUACGGCCUGGCACGGAUAUGAUGCUGGGACUAUUUGGUGACAGGUUCACCCUUGAUGUGAUUUGUCUGUGAUAUGAUGCAUUACAUGAUGACAUAUGUUUUAAAUGUUUUAGUAUUCUGCUCACUGGGCUCUAGUAGCUCACCCAUUUCCCUAUAUCCCCCAGGUUUGCAGGUACGGGCUAGUUCAAGGAGUCAAGAAGAGUAAAGUCUUGUGAUUUGUAAUAGUUAGAUGUGGACAUGAUGAUUUGUAAAAUGAUGUAAGGUUAUGAUCAGUCAUGUUAUGUAAUAUUGAUAUUGAGGAUUAGAAUUGUGCUUGACCAUAGUAUGUUUGAAUAAUCCCAUGUAUAUACAUGAUCUAUGUUUUAUGAUGUUUAUGUUCAACCAAGCUUGAUGAUUGAUGAGAUACCCCAUUGGAGCAUGUGAUGAGACUCCAGUGUGUGGUUUAUGUUUAUGUUUAUUUGCAUGCACAGGUUGAGCUUGGUAAAAGAAAAGAAAAAGUUCUCAUGUUUAUGUAUAUGUGUGAUCCUGUAUGGGAUUUGACAGGUAUUCAGGAUGUAUGUUUGGCUUGUUACGGGUCCCGGCGACCUUAUGUCGAUCUGGAUCCUAGCGCCGGUAGCGGUCCUGUUUCCAGGUCGUUACAGAGUGGUAUCAGAGCCCUAGGUUCAUAUGAUCGGACCUAUAGUGUCUCGGGCUCAUAGGUGUCAUAGAAGGUCAAGCACAAUAGGAUGAUCAUGUCCACUAGGAUAGGAUAAAGAGUCCUGUCUUGAAUGAUGAUGUGAAAUGCCAUGAUUAUAUGCAUGUGUAUUAAUGUUAUGCUAUGAUAUGUGAUGUAUGUGAUGCGGGUUCAUGUGUUUGCACAUGAACCAUUUGAUGCUAAUGUUCUAUGUGAUGUGUACUGUUUUUCAGAAAACAGGAUGAAAGGAACUCGUCGAUCUGCACGAUUGACUGGAGUACCACCCCAGGACGAGGGCACUGAUGCCCGUCCUCCUGCAUUGCCUAGGGCAAUGUCAAGCAGGUCCAGCAGAGAAAGAGCAGUAAGUGACCUUAGAAGGUCUUUGGAUCUGGGUAGAAGCAGAUCAAUGAGGGGAACAGUGCAAGGGGAUAUGUCAGAGGAUGUGGGGGAUCAGAUGGAUGUGGAUCAGAGGAGGGAUGGCAGUCUCGGAGUAAGUAUGUCGGAAGAGGGAAUGGGAGAGUCCCAAGGAGGCGCUCAGGCCUCGGGAUUUGUUCAGCCACCUUACUACCCACCCUUUUCACAUAAUCUCGGGUAUUCGAUGGGAGGUACAUCAGAUUACCCCAGUUUUAACUCUUAUCACUCUCAGAUGCCAUACCCACCUUUCUACCCACCGUACCCACAGUACCCUAUGUACCCACCCCCACCCUACCAUCCAGGUACAACAAACCCUACCCCAAGGGAUGUUGCACCUCCUCCACCACCAGUAGCACCUACUGUCCCAGAAACCCAAAUGCCUAAACCUAGCUCAUCUGGGGGGAGCAAGGUCAAGAUGACCGAUUAUAUGAAGCUGGGUGCUCCCCAGUUUGAAACCGGUGAUGACCCGUUUGUGUACCUCGAGAGGGUCAAGACAAUUACAGAUGAUAUAGGAUCUGAUGACAGUAGAGCCAUUCAGAUGGCUGGGUUCACACUAAAAUACAAGAAGGCCCGAGAGUGGUUUAAGAACUAUGUGAACCCGAGGUUGGACAGCCUAUCAUGGGAGGAGUUUGCAAAUGAGUUUGCAGGAUGGGCUUUCCCUGACAGUUCAAGAGAAUUGAAGAUGAUUAAGUUCGAGCAGCUGAGGCAAACGGAUGAGAUGAGUGUGGAUGAGUAUACAGACAGAUUCUUGGAGCUGUUGCCGUUCGCUGGGCAGAAUCUGGAUACAGAUCAGAAAAAGUCAAGGAGGUAUAUCAUGAAGCUCCAUUCCAGGUAUUCCUCCUUGAUUCAGUCAGCAGAGAGGGAGAGUUUCCAUGCCAUAGUGGAUAUGGCUCGGAGGAUGGAGGCUAGUGCAAUAAUCGAGGGGAAAGUCAAGCAGUCAGUGGCACAGCCUUCUGGUUCCAAGACCCCAGGUAGGGGACAGUUAGACCCUUCUUCUCUGAGUUCAGGCAGUAAGAGAUGGGGUAAAGCCAAGUCUAAGAAGAACAAGUUCUGGAGCAAGAUCAAGUCAGGUCUGGGAUUAGGGAGUGGCUCAAGCUCUGGUGCAGAUAAUGCAGUAUGCAAGAAGUGUGGGAAGCCGCACAAAGGAGUAUGUCUUGUUGGGACGACAGCCUGCUUCAGAUGUGGGCAGGAGGGACACAUGGCACGGGAGUGUCCUAGGGCAGCUUUUGUGGCACAGUCUCAGCAGACAGCUUCAGGUAGUGUGGCACAGCCAGUAGCUCCAGCUGCGACUCAGGCUAGUGGCAGAGGCAGAGGGAGAGGGGCCGCCUCUUCUUCAGCGAGUUUCAAGGGUGAGGGUCCAUCAGCUCCGGCACGGAUCUUCACCAUGACUCAGCAGGAGGCAAACACAUCCAACACCGUGGUGUCAGGUAAUCUCAUCAUUGGUUGUUCCGAUGUGUAUGCAUUAUUGGACCCUGGUGCAUCUCAUUCUUUCAUUACUCCAAGGGCCGUCGAGAGGUUGGGAUUGAUGGUCUCUAGGUUAGAGUGUCCCCUAUGGGUCAGUAGACCCAAGUGUGACCCGUCAGUGGCAGAGUCAGUCUGCCAGUGUAGUGCAGUUUUUGUGGAGGUAAGAUGCCUGUUCGCCGACCUUGUGGUUCUAGAUUUGACAGAUUUUGACGUCAUUCUAGGGAUCGAUUGGCUAUCUACCCAUGGUGAUACCUUGGAUUGCAGAGACAAGGUAGUCAGGUUCAAAUGUCAGGAUGGGUCAGAGGUUGUCUUCAGAGGAGACAGGAGGGGUACACCUAGAGGUUUGAUAUCAGCCCUACAGGCUCGUAGGCUCCUCAGGAGGGGUUGUUAGGGUUUUCUAGCUCAUGUGAGAGAGCUGGAUAGUUAUGUCAGAGAGCCCGCCUCGGUGCCAGUGGUUAGAGAGUUUUUAGAUGUGUUCCCAGACGAGCUGCCAGGUUUACCACCUGCUAGGGAGAUAGAGUUUGAAAUUGAAUUAAUGCUUGGAACCAGACCAAUCUCUAUCCCUCCCUACAGGAUGGCACCAGCAGAAUUGAAGGAGCUUAAGGAGCAAUUGCAAGAGCUGGUAGACAAGGGCUUCAUCCGACCGAGUACCUCACCUUGGGGUGCUCCAGUAUUGUUUGUGAGAAAGAAGGAUGGAUCCCUCAGACUUUGUAUCGACUACAGGCAGUUGAACAAGGUCACUACCAAGAAUAAGUACCCGUUGCCAAGGAUCGACGAUCUAUUCGACCAGCUAGCAGGAGCAGGUUGUUUCUCCAAGAUAGAUCUGAUAUCAGGGUACCAUCAGCUGAGGAUAAGGGAAGAGGAUGUACCGAAGACAGCCUUCAGGACUAGAUAUGGGCAUUUUGAGUUCCUUGUGAUGCCGUUUGGGUUAACCAACGCCCCUGCAGCAUUCAUGGAUCUCAUGAACAGGGUUUUCAGUCAGUACCUGGAUCACUUUGUUAUUGUCUUCAUAGAUGAUAUCUUAGUGUAUUCCAGGAAUGCAGAGGAGCAUGCCCAUCAUCUGAGGUUAGUUCUGCAGACUUUGAGGGAACACGGCUUGUAUGCCAAGUUCUCCAAAUGUGAGUUCUGGCUGAGGAGCAUAUCAUUCUUGGGGCACGUUGUGUCAGAAAAUGGGAUUGAAGUGGACCCCAAGAAGGUAGAAGCUGUGGCUAACUGGCCUAGACCCACUUCAGUGACGGAGAUCAGGAGUUUCUUGGGUUUGGCAGGUUACUACAGGAGGUUCGUUCAGGACUUCUCUAAGAUUGCAGCUCCCCUGACCAGAUUAACCAGGAAGAAUCAGAAGUUUGUGUGGACCGACCAGUGCGAAGAGAGUUUUGAAGAGCUUAAGACGAGGUUAACGUCAGCACCGGUGUUAGCUUUGCCUAACUGUUGAGAGAAUUUCACAGUGUUCUGUGAUGCAUCCCGAGUGGGAUUGGGUUGUGUGCUAAUGCAGAAUGAAAGGGUGAUUGCUUAUGCUUCUAGGCAGCUGAAGAAGCAUGAGUUGAAUUACCCUACACAUGACCUGAAAAUGGCAGCCGUAAUCUUUGCACUCAAGAUGUGGAGGCAUUACCUUUAUGGGGUGAAAUGUGAGAUCUUCACCGAUCAUAAAAGCCUGCAGUACAUCCUGAGUCAAAGAGAUUUGAACUUGAGACAGAGAAGAUGGGUAGAGCUGCUGAGUGAUUACGAUUGCAAGAUUCAGUACCAUCCAGAUAAGGCGAAUGUGGUGGCAGACGCCCUAAGCCGGAAAUCACUAGGCAGCUUAUCCCACAUCACGGCUGAGAGGAGACCGGUGGUGAAAGAGUUUUACAAGCUCAUUGAGGAAGGUCUGCAGCUAGAGUUGUCUGGUACAGGUGCUUUGAUAGCCCAGAUGAGAGUGACACCUGUGUUCCUGGAGCAGGUGGCUCAAAAACAACAUGAAGACCCAGAGUUAGUAAAGAUUGCCAGGAAGGUUCAGUCAGGCAAAAAUGAAGAGUUCAGAUUCGACAGCAAGGGGAUCCUCCGCUAUGGGAAUAGACUAUGUGUACCAGAUGACAUCAGUUUAAAGGGAGACAUUAUGAGGGAAGCUCAUAAUGCCAAGUACAAUGUUCACCCUGGAGCCACCAAGAUGUAUCAAGAUCUGAAGAGAGUGUAUUGGUGGCCAGCUAUGAAGAGAGAAGUGGCACAGUUUGUGUCAGCCUGCGAAGUAUGUCAGAGGGUGAAGUUGGAACAUCAGAAGCCGGCUGGAAUGCUUAACCCACUACCUAUUCCAGAGUGGAAAUGGGAGAAUAUAGUUAUGGACUUCGUAGUGGGGUUACCGGCAGCAUCCAACAGGUUAGACUCCAUAUGGGUGAUUGUGGACAGACUGACCAAAUCUGCUCACUUCAUCACUGUCAGGAGCAACUACUCAGUGGAUAAGUUAGCGCAGGUGUAUGUGGAUGAAGUUGUAAGGCUGCAUGGGGUUCCUGUUUCAAUAGUGUAUGAUAGAGGGCCCCAGUUUACCUCUAGAUUUUGGCGGAGUCUGCAGAAUGCUAUGGGUACCAGGUUAGAUUUCAGUACUGCCUUCCAUCCAUAGAUGGACGGACAGUCAGAGAGGACCAUCCAGACUAUAGAAGAUAUGCUCAGAAUGUGUGUACUAGAUUUUGGCUGUUCUUGGAGGCAGCAUCUACCCUUGGUGGAGUUUGCCUACAAUAACAGCUAUCAUGCUAGCAUAGGUAUGGCUCCAUAUGAAGCUUUAUAUGGGAGGAAGUGCAGGUCACCUGUUUGCUGGGAAGAAGUGGGGGAAAAGGCUUUCGCAGGCCCUGAGCUUGUUGAGAUCACCAGCAGGGUGCUGCCCAUUAUCAGAGAAAGGAUCAGAAAAGCUGUGAGUAGACAGAAAUGCUAUGCAGACAUUCGCAGGAGGCAGGUAGAGUUUCAGGAGGGAGAUCUGGUAUUGCUCAAAGUGUCUCCUAUGAAAGGAGUGGUUCGUUUUGGGAAGAAAGGUAAGCUAGCCCCACGAUACAUCGGACCUUUUGAAAUCUUGCAGAAGAUUGGGAAUGUGUCAUACAAGCUGGAUUUACCUGCUUCAAUGGAAAGAAUCCAUCCGGCUUUCCAUGUUUCCAUGUUGAGGAAGUUCGUGUCAGAUCCGGGCAAGGUUCUUAGUGAGCCUAAUGUGGAGAUCUAAAAAGAUCUCACCUAUGUUGAACAGCCAGUGCGGAUUCUUGACACCCAGAUCAGGAAGCUGAGAAACAAGGAAAUCCCGAUAGUGAAAGUCCUUUGGAACCACCACAAUAUGGAAGAAUGCACCUGGGAGACACGGGAGUCCAUGCUCCUGCAAUACCCUUAUCUUUUCUAAGGUUAGUUUCUUGUAUGUUUCAUGUGUUUUAUGUGUAUGAUGUGUUAUAUGCCUUGCAUGUGCUAGUUGAGGAACAUUCGGGGACGAAUGUUCUUAAGGGGGGGAGAAUGUAAUACCCGGCUUGACUCCGGUAUCGGAAAUUCCUACCGUCCGGUGGAAUCUCGGGAGUCGGAGACUUCUAGAAGGGUAAAACCAUGUUUUAUAAAAUGUUUUAAUGUAAUUUAUGUUUUUAAGCAAGAAAGAAAAUGAGUUUUUGCAUGAAAAUAGCAUUGGAGGAAAACUCGGGUUCGGCCGCCGAACAUGCAUGCGCUUCGGGAGUGCUUUAGGCCCCCGAAGGCAUAAGUGAGGGAAGUCCAGGUUCGGCCGCCGAACCUUAUGUUCGGCCGCCGAACAUGGCAUGCAUGCGGAGGCACGUUAGGCCCCCGAAAGUGGCCUGGCCAGCCACCUAUAAAGGGGUCCCCAUGUCCGAACGGGUGAGCUUUUUCUCCCUAUUUUCGGCCAAGAUGAGUCUCCGCCGCUCUCAUGCCGAUCUUGAGUUCUUCCUUCAAAUCUUCCAUGAUUUUUAUGAGUUUUCACCUUUGUUUUGAAGAUUUUUAAGCAAAUAGCAAGUUUUGGAGCUUGGAGGUUCAAGGAACUCGAUCUCUCCCAUCUCUGAGCUAGGAUCGUUUUUCCUCUCGAUCUUCAAGAGGUAAGAGCCGAUCUUGAGCUCAUUAUAUGUUUUAAACAAGUUUCAAGUUGAUUCUUGGGGUAGAAAUGCAUGCUUAGGUUAGUUGAGCUUUGUUAGGUUUUGUGUUGUGUUUAUGGAUAAUGUAGGUUGCCGAGUUGCUUUCGAUGUGUUGUAGUUGGGGUUUAGGAUAGUUUGAAGCCCCUAGGAGCUUAUGUAUGUGUUUAUGCAUGUUUUGGUUGAGUUGUAUGCAUGAUUGAAGGUUUUGGGAGGCAAAUGUGCAUAAGAGCUGAGUUUCUGCCACUUUGGGAGAAACUCAGGUUCGGCAGCCGAACCUGCCUGUGGAGGCAAGCUUUCGGGUGCCGAAGCCUGCCCCCGAAAGUGGACUGUCGUCUCUGGAGGGGACUUUCGGCCGCCGAAGGUGCCGCCGAACAUGCAUGAGUUUCGCCUCUAGAGAGAACCUUCGGCCGCCGAAAGUGCCGCCGAAGGUGCAUGACUUUCGGCUCUGGAGGGACUUUCGGCCGCCGAACCUGCCGCUGAAAGUGCCCUGUUCAGCCCUCCUUUGCAUGAAUUCUUUGAUUGUUUUGAGGUAUUUUAGGGGGUUUUUGGGGGAUAUUUUUAGAGUCAUGUUCUAGUAUGUUUGGUCCCUUAUUUGAGUCCACCUGUGUAGAUUCGGACCCAAGGAACCGAGGACCCCAGCAGUGAGUCAGCUGCUUCAGUUCAUUGUCAGAGUUAGCCUGAGGUGAGUAGAAUAAACCUUAUGUUUUAAAUUAAUGCAAGUUUUAGCAUGAAUCAUGCAUCACGAAUGCCAUGUGAUAUAAUAGGUUGUUGCAUUAGAAUCCACGAAUAUGUUGCACUGCAUUCUUUGUUAUGGAUGUGGGUGAAUGUUGUAUGAUCCAAUUAGUCCCUAAGGAAAGACCAGGACCCCAUUCUACGGCCUGGCACGGUAUGAAAGACCAGGACCCCAUUCUACGACCUGGCACGGAAUGGAACGCGAAGACCAGGUGCCCAGAUGAGGCCCUAGGGCAAUGGUAAGUAAUGCUAUGAUAUGACAGGAAGACCAGGACCCCAUUCUACGGCCUGGCACGGAUAUGAUGCUGGGACUAUUUGGUGACAGGUUCACCCUUGAUGUGAUUUGUCUGUGAUAUGAUGCAUUACAUGAUGGCAUAUGUUUUAAAUGUUUUAGUAUUCUGCUCACUGGGCUCUAGUAGCUCACCCCUUUCUCUAUAUCCCCCAGGUUUGCAGGUACGGGCUAGUUCAGGGAGUCAAGAAGAGUAAAGUCUUGUGAUUUGUAAUAGUUAGAUGUGGACAUGAUGAUUUGUAAAAUGAUGUAAGGUUAUGAUCAGUCAUGUUAUGUAAUAUUGAUAUUGAGGAUUAAAAUUGUGCUUGACCAUAGUAUGUUUGAAUAAUCCCAUGUAUAUACAUGAUCUAUGUUUUAUGAUGUUUAUGUUCAACCAAGCUUGAUGAUUGAUGAGAUACCCCAUUGGAGCAUGUGAUGAGACUCCAGUGUGUGGUUUAUGUUUAUGUUUAUGUGCAUGCACAGGUUGAGCUUGGUAAAAGAAAAGAAAAAGUUCUCAUGUUUAUGUAUAUAUAUGAUCAUGUAUGGGAUUUGACAGGUAUUCAGGAUGUAUGUUUGGCUUGCUACGGAUCCCGGCGACCUUAUGUCGAUCUGGAUCCUAGCGCCGGUAGCGGUCCGGUUUCCGGGUCGUUACAAGUUAGUGCUCAUGUUUUGAAAAUGAAAGGCUACAUUGAUCACCUUGCUAGGCCUGGCCAUCCUCUGAGUGUAGAACUCUCUACGGGUUUGAUCCUACAUUCUUUACCUAGCAGUUUUUCUCAGUUUGUCAUGAACUAUAACAUGAACAAUAUGGAGAAAUCCAUUCCUGAGCUGCAUGGGAUGUUAAAAAUAGCUGAGGUGAAUGUCAAGAAAAAGCCUACCCAAAUUUUGAAUGUCAAUAAGGGUAAACCCAUGAAAAAUAAGGGGAAGUCCAAGUCUAAAGAUGGUAAUGGGCCUAAGGGACGAGGCAAGCCUAAAUGGCAAUCCAAGGCAAAAGUUUCUAAGAAAGGAAUUUGCUUCCAUUGCAAGGAACCACGGCAUUGGAAGAGAAAUUGCAAACUCUAUUUGGAUGAGUGCAAGAAGAAGAAGAGUAGUGAGACUACGACUUCAGGUAUUUAUGUUAUAGAUAUUAAUUUAUCUAUUUCUACUUCAUGGGUAUUGGAUAUCGAAUGUGGUUUUCAUAUUUGUACAAAUGUGCAGGGUCUCAAAAGGAGUAGAAAACUGAAAAAGGGCGAUGUGGACCUACGUGUAGGCAAUGGAGUAAGAGUUGCUGCCUUAGCUGUAGGGACUUAUGAACUUAUGUUGCCCAAUGGGCUUUUGUUAGUUCUGAACAAUUGCUUUUACGUUCCUACUUUGAGUAGGAAUAUUAUUUCAGUUUCUAUUUUGGACGAUGAAGAUUUUUCAUUUCUUAUUAAGAAUAAGAAAUGCUCAUUUAAUAAAGAUGGUUUGCUCUAUUGUAUUGCAAAUUCAUAUGAUGGCCUUUAUGUCCUUAAUCUAGAUGAUUCUAGAGACAACAAUAUCUAUAACAUAACUUCUAAGAAAACUAAGCCAAAUGAGUUAAACCCAACAUAUUUAUGGCACUGUCGUUUUAGCCAUAUAAAUGAGAAUCGCAUAUCUAAGCUCCAUAAAGAUGGUUUAUUAGAUUCAUUUGAUUUUGAAUCAUUUGAAAAUUGUGAAUCUUGUUUGCUUGGUAAGAUGACAAAGGACCCUUUUACUGGAAAAGGUUAAAGGGCUUCAGACUUAUUGGGCUUAAUACAUACAGAUAUAUGUAGCCCACUAAGCAUUAGUGCCAGGGAAGGUUAUCAAUACUUCAUUACAUUCACUAAUGAUUUCAGUAGGUAUGGCUACGUCUACCUAAUGAAACAUAAGCAUGAAUCUUUUGAAAUGUUUAAAACUUUUCAAAAUGAAGUACAAAAUCAACUUAGUAGAACUAUUAAAAUGCUUCGAUCUGAUCGAGGUGGUGAAUAUUUGAGCCAAGAGUUUGAUGAACAUCUUAGAAAUUGUGGAAUUGUUUCAUAAUUGAUUCCUCCAGAAACUCCACAAUGGAAUGGUGUUUCUGAAAGGAGAAAUCGAACUUUAUUAGAUAUGGUUCGAUCUAUGAUGAGUCGAACAAAUCUCCCUUUAUCAUUUUGGGUUUAUGCCUUGGAAACAACUGCAUUCAUUUUAAACCGAGUACCAUCAAAAGCGGUUGAAAACACACCAUAUGAGUUAUGGACUGGCAAAAUGCCCUGUUUGUCUUUUCUUAAGAUUUGGGGUUGUGAGGCUGUUGGGAAAUCUUGAGAUUAUUGCAACCCAGUUGCGCAGCGGAAAAAUAAAAUCUCUGUUGAUUUCCUUUUCCAGAAUCUGAGUGCUUCGUUUAAUUCAAAAGAUGGAUAUGAAACUAACCUGUUAAUCUCGUCAAGAAGAUACAAUGCCGGACUGAUGGUGCUGCCUUUUCAAACGAACACCCUCAAUGGUAUCCACACGAACGUCUUCUAUCCUUCUAGAGUGCUAGCUCUCUCAAGGAUGGAUAGAUUAUGUGCUCCACAAUCUGCAGCGAUUAGACUGAAUUUUCUAAAAACUGUCGUCAACACUUUCUUCGUAGAAAGAGUAUUUAUAUGUUUCAGUCUUUUUGUUUUCCCACAACUCUUUUCCCAAAAGAGUUGUACUACUCUUUUCCCAAAAGAGUUGUACUACUAUUUUCCCAAAAGAGUUGUGUUCAGAACCCACUAUCACAAUCUCGCAGAUACUCAAAUAUCUUUAUGUGAUAGAGUCCUUUAUCUGUAACAGUUACAGAUAGACUGCAGAUCUUUUGAAUAUUAUUAUCUUAUAAUAAUAAAUAAUUAAUAAUAAUAACACUUUAUUAUUAUUAAUUAUACUAAUGGGCUUUUAGCCCAUUAAUAUAGCACAUCAACAACGUUCUUGUGUGUGACCCAAUAGACUCACAUUAAUUGGCAAUAGGCCUAGUCCAACAAGGCCUAUAAGUCAUAAGUGGCCUCUAGCAAGACAUUAUGACUACCCAACUAAUAUGAGGAUCAAUAGUCCGAUAAAGCCUAUUAAAUAGAACAUGUAUUAAUCCCUUUGUCACACGAUAUCUAGUUUGAACAUAAGUCAUGGUCAAUGUCAAACUUAUAAUGUUCAAACUUAUGAUUUCUCGAUCUCUAAGUAAACUGAUAAAUUCAAAUAAUAUUGAUCACACUAUCAAUUCAUUUGAGCACGGCCAUGCAUUUCUCAGUCUCACUUAUCGAAGGGCCUAGAAGAUAUCUCUCUCAAAGAGAGGGACAAAUCCUAUCUUGAUUGUUCAUUAUCCUCUACAUAAUUUCUAUCAUGCUCAACCAUAACCUUUAUAAUUGUCCGAUUAAAGACAACGUUUGGUUAUGUCAAAACAUAACAGUCCUUAUGUUGGAAACUAUGACAAUCUCAAGUCAAAUGAUUAAGACAUAACUACUUUGAUAUUCACUUAUGACAAUGACCCAUGUAGUGAUCUCAAUGCGGGUCCAUCCAAUACUUUGUUCUCUAACAAGUAUCUAUGAUUAUUGAAUUAUAUCAACAUAUACAUAAUCAUCUCAUGAUUAUCAAUCAAUAAUCAUACCAGUUAUAUUUUAUUAUUAUCAACAUAAUAAUAAAUAAUUAGUGAUGAUAAUCAUUAUUAUGUAACAUGCAAACAAAUAAUAAUGAUAAAAACCUCUUUUAUUAAUAACCAAAACGACAUACAAAAAGGCCCAAGAUAAUGGCCUAGGGCAUAUACACUAACAGAGGCUUAUGUGAAACGCCCAAUUUCAGAUAAGCUAGCUCCAAAAUCUAUCAAGUGCAAUUUUGUGGGGUAUCCUAAGGAAACCAAAGGAUACUAUUUCUAUAUUCCCUCAGAGAACAAAGUGUUUGUUGAUCGAAAUGGUACCUUUUUAGAAAAGGAAUUUAUCUCUCAGAGAUUCAGUGGGAGUACAGUGCAACUUGAGAAAACUCAAGCACCACAAGAGAGCAUUGAACCGCCAAUAGAACCACUUUCAGAACCACAAACAGUUGUGGAAACUGAAAGGGUGACACAAGUCCCACGCAGAUCUGAUAGGACACGUCAUCAGCCUGAGAGAUAUGGAUUUCUCAUGACUGAUAGUCGUGAACUUUUGUUCAUUGAUCAAGAUGAGCCUACUACCUAUCAAGAGGCUGUGUCAGAAGCACCACAAGAGAGCAUUGAAUCGCCAGUAGAACCACUUUCAGAACCAUAAACAGUUGUGAAAACUGAAAGGGUGACACAAGUCCCACGCAGAUCUGAUAGGACACGUCAUCAGCCUGAGAGAUAUGGAUUUCUCAUGACUGAUAGUCGUGAACUUUUGCUCAUUGAUCAAGAUGAGUCUACUACCUAUCAAGAGGCUGUGUCAGGUCCAGAUUCCGAGAAAUGGCUUUCUGCCAUGAAAUCUGAGACCUUUUCGCCAGUUGCAAUGCUUAAGUCGGUUAGAAUUCUCAUUACCAUUGCUGCGUACUAUGAUUACGAGAUAUGGCAAAUGGAUGUCAAAACAGCUUUCCUUAAUGGAAACUUGCUCGAGGAUGUGUAUAUGACACAACCUGAGGGUUUUGUAAUCCCUAAGAAUUCUAGAAAGAUUUGCAAGCUUCAAAGAUCCAUUUAUGGAUUGAAGCAAGCUUCUCGGAGCUAGAAUCUUCGUCUUGAUGAGAUAGUCAUGAGACAGUCAGGGACUUUGGAUUCAUCAAAAAUGAAGAUGAACCUUGUGUUUACAAGAUGGUUAGUGGGAGUGCAAUUGUGUUUCUAGUCAUAUAUGUGGAUGACAAAUUACUCAUUAGAAAUGAUAUCCCUACCUUGCAAAAGGUUAAGACUUGGUUAGGGAAUUCAUUUUCAAUGAAGGACUUAGGUGAGGCUGCAUAUAUCCUUGGUAUUAAGAUCUAUAGGGAUAGAUCAAAGAGGAUAAGCGGUCUGAGUCAAAGUAAUUAUAUUGACAAGGUGCUGAAAAGGUUCAGCAUGCAAGAUUCCAAAAGAGGAUUCUUGCCCAUGUCUCAUGGUAUUCAUCUCAGCAAGAAUCAAUGUCCUAAGACAUCUGUUGAGCGAGAACGGAUGAAUAAGAUCCCUUAUGCUUCUGCAAUAGGAUCUAUCAUGUAUGCCAUGUUAUGUACUAGACCAGACGUCUCAUAUGCAUUGAGCACAAUAAGCAGAUAUCAGGCAGAUCCCGGUGAAAGUCACUGGACAGCUGUUAAGAAUAUCCUAAAGUACCUUACAAGGACUAAGGAUGCAUUCUUAGUUUAUGGAGGUUUGGAAGACUAGCUAGUUGUAAAUGGUUACACAGAUGCUAGUUUUCAAACCGACAUAGAUGACUUCAGAUCGCAGUCAGGAUUCGUAUUCACUUUAAAUGGUGGAGCUGUUAGCUGGAAAAGUUCCAAGUAGAGCACUGUAGCAUAUUCUACAACAGAAGCUGAGUAUAUAGCAGCAUCAGAUGCAACUAAGGAGGCAGUCUGGUUGAAGAAAUUCAUCUCAGAGUUGGGAGUGGUUCCCAGCAUUGUAAAUCCUAUGGACCUUUAUUGUGAUAACAAUGGUGCUAUAGCACAGGCAAAGGAGCCCAGAUCUCAUCAGAGAUCUAAACACAUACUCAGGCGAUAUCACCUUAUUUGAGAGAUCAUUGAUAGAGGAGAUAUCAAAAUAUGCAAAGUAGACACAAAUGACAACAUUGCAGAUCCACUAACCAAGGCUCUUUCACAGGUCAAGCAUGAUCAGCACACUAGGUCUAUAGGUAUUAGAUACUUGUAUGAUUAGGCCUAGUGCAAGUGGGAGAUUGUUAGUGUAUAUGCCCUAAGCCAUUAUAUUGGACAUUUUUUGUAUGUCAUUUUGAUUAUUAAUAAAAGAGAUUUUUAUUAUCAUUAUUAUUUGUUUGCAUGUUACAUAAUAAUGAUUCACAUCCCUGGUUACUUAUUAUUAUGUUGAUAAUAAUAAAAUAUAACUGGUAUGAUUAUUGAUUGAUAAUCAUGAGAUGAUUAUAUAUAUGUUGAUAUAAUUCAAUAAUCAUAGAUACUUGUUAGAGAACAAAGUAUUGGAUAGACCCACAUUGAGAUCACUACAUGGGUUAUUGUCAUAAGUGAAUCUCAAAGUAGUUAUGUCUUAAUCCUUUGACUUGAGAUUGUCAUAGUUUCCAACAUGAGGACUAUUAUGUUUUGACAUAACCAAACAUUGUCUUUAAUUGGACAAUCAUAAAGGUUAUGAUUGAGCAUAAUAGAAAUUAUGUAGAGGAUAUUGAACAAUCAAGAUAGGAUUUGUCCCUCUCUCCGAGAGAGAUAUCUUAUGAGCCCCUCGAUAAGUGAGACUGAGAAAUGCAUGGCUGUGCUCAAAUGAAUUGAUAGUGUGAUCAAUAUCAUUUGAAUUUAUCAGUCUACUUAGAGAUCGAGAAAUCAUAAGUUUGAACAUUAUAAGUUUGACAUUGACCAUGACUUAUGUUCAAACUAGAUAUCGUGUGACAAAUGAAUUAAUACAUGUUCUAUUUAUUAGGCUUUAUUGGACUAUUGAUCCUCAUAUUAGUUGGAUAGUCAUAAUGUCUUGCUAGAGGCCACUUAUGACUUAUGGGCCAUGUGGGACUGGGCCUAUUGCCAAUUAAUGUAAGCCUAUUGGGUCACACACAAAAGAACGUUGUUGAUGUGAUAUGUCAUAUUAAUGGACUAAAAGCCCAAAGCCCAUUAAUAUAAUUAAUAAUAAUAUGUCAUAUUAAUCGAGAUGUCACACAUCAUGGUUUUGUAACUUUCAAAGUAUGUCGUCUCUUAUUGACAUCUCGAUUUUCUCUUUUAGUUGCUGGCACUCUUUUAUCGUAUUUAUGUUGUCUGUAUGAAAACGACAAUACUUGAUCUUAUUUCGCCUUCCAGCUUUCUUAGGGUUGAGCUUAGGAGGCCAUCUGAUUUUCUUAUAAUUUUUCCUUAUCAACAUUAAAAUAUGUGUUCAUGAGUUUUCCAAUGGAGUAUAAUUCUUAUACUUACCCCAGUUGCCUCUUCCUCUAAACACUAGGUAGUUCCUACGGUCUUUUUCAUAUUUUCACCUUUUCAAUUUUUGGGUUUGCUCUUUACUCGUCCUCUUGUCCUCUUCUUGUCCUUCCUGGUACCUUUGAGCAGCUCAUACCAACUUCCUGUCAACGUCCUUUAGAAUACCAUCUGAUGACUCCUCUUUCUCAAACUUGUCCUUUCCUUUAGACCGCAUCUGAAUUACCUCUGUCCGAGUCCUUGAAGUAUCAACGGAGGCUUCCUCCCUUCUCCAAGGAGCCAUGAAUGACACCUUCUUCCAAGUUUUGUAUUGCUUGAAAGUAACUUGCAAUCUUUUAACAUACUGGAAUAUUUGCUCAAUGCUUAAAUUGUUGAAAUAUGCUUUGUUGACUAUAAAGGAUGUGUUUUGUCCACUUCCAAGAGUUGAAGAAAUGAUAGCAUUCUCAUUGGUAGCAACCUUAGCAGCAGCUCAUGAAUUAUCGGUCAUUUCGAAAAAGAAAAAAUAUAUUUUUUUAAGAGAAAAAGAGGAUAAGAGACUAGUUUUAAUCUAAAUAAACAGAUAAAAUUUAAUGGAUCUCCCGAUAGCGGAAUAAAAUAAUAUAACCGAAAAAUAAAACUAUACUGUGAUUGGUCCACCUGCAAGAAAGAGAAUGUGAGAUAAUUAAUGCUCCAAUACUCAAAUUAGUAAACUGCUUUGGUUGUACUAUUAAACUCACAUGCCUAACGAAUUUAACAAGGUCACCUUCAACCAUUCACCCUAUUGUUAAGCAAUAAACAUGCAAAGCCAAGUUGAAACACCAAUUUAUAAUCUCUUCAUGCCAAUAACAGACUGUACAGUUGUCAGCAUAGACAAAGGAAGGCAUCCUACAGCAGUUUAGGCAACAAUACUAAAGUAUAGGAACAUCCGAAAAAAUGCAAUAAAAUAAAAUUAGAAAACAUCAGAUUUUGUAUCCAGCUCCCACAGAUUCACAAUCAACAUAUCCCACAAAUCAAAACAAUCAGAUCCAAUCAAGAAAUAUUUUACAUCUAUUCACAAAACAUAAAAAGAACAAAUAAUAAAACAAAAAUAAAAAUAGAAAUAGGAAUCAGAAUACCUAAAUCCUUGGUUCGAGGAUUUGACAGCGAGGAAUGAGGAUAAAGCAUAAAUCUCAAGACUCCCGGUUGCAGGUAUGCACGAGUAGAGACAGUAGCUUUAAGCAACCUCCGAAGUCGUCUGAACCAAGGUCAAUCCUCCUAAUAGCAAAAUAGAAACCCCUGUUGCAACAAGCAUCACCGAAUUGAUUUUGGAUUCAACCAAACCGACAAUCAAGGCUUCAAUCAAAGAACCACGCCGAAGCUGAGUUUUGAAGCCGAGAAUAGUCUGUAAGGUGGUGACGCGGACAAAAUAGUGUAUACAAAGGCCACUUAAAUUUACCAACACAACAAUAAUAAAUAAAAUCAGUGCUUUCUUUGAAAGAUGAAAGAACAGCAUAAAUAAACAUAUAAUAUUAUAAUAAAUAAGAGCAUUAAUUACUUUGAUGACUUAUACGAAUUUAUUAUCUUGUAAAUCAGAAAAUUCUUUGUUCUUUUUACAUCUAUUAUGUAAACAACUUUUAAUUACUAUAUAUAUAUAUAUUGAUUCAUUGGAUAUGACCACAAAAUUGUGCUCAAGUUGCUGUCGAUAUUUAUAUCUUGAAAGAAAUGUGAGCAUAUUUUUAAAUUUAAAUUAUCAAUAUAUGCACAAAUAAUGAAAAUAGCUCCAAUUUUGAAUUUUUGUGGCAUAAAUUCUAUUAUAAUCUACGCAUGAUAUGCUUUAUUCCUUCACAAAUUUGCUCAAUAAUGAAAAUAGCUCCAAUUUUGAAUUUUUGUGGCAUAAAUUCUAUUAUAAUCUACGCAUGAUAUGCUUUAUUCCUUCACAAAUUUGCUCAAUAAAUGUGCCUUGCAUCACGUAGGACAUUAUUCAUUUCACUCAUUAAAUAUUGAUUCAAGGGUAAAUUAGAUACAAAUUAAAAAAAUAUAUAUAGCUCAACUGCCUCCUUAAUCUAUGUAAAUUUUAUUUUCUCUAUAUAAAAAGAAUAUCUUGUUUCUUUUAAUUCUAACAGUUAGAGACCCUCAAACACUACAAUCACCGCCAUUGCCGCCGUUGCCUCCGCGAUAAAUAAUACUNNNNNNNNNNNNNNNNNNNNNNNNNNNNNNNNNNNNNNNNNNNNNNNNNNNNNNNNNNNNNNNNNNNNNNNNNNNNNNNNNNCUUGCGCAUAUCAAGUACAGACAGAGAUAUCCAAGUGCCCAUUCAUAAUUCUUGCCCUUGCUUCUGUUAUUCAAAUUGUGCAUAACUUUACAACAAAGUAAGAUAUGAUCCGAGACAAUGCACUUUGUUUAAUACCACUGAACUCAGAAAUUCUGAGUUUUUGUUUUUUUUUUAAGCCUUCCACGUAAUUUUCAGUGAAUAUAAUAAUUCUUACUCCAUAACUUAAACAAAAUUUCAUCAAUAAAAUUCAAUAGCCCAUAUACAGUUGACUUGCUGCUUUUCUUGCUUUUAGCUUCGUAUUACUAAUAAAGAAUAAUUUCAAGGCUUUCCUGUUCAUAGCAUCAUAGUCAAUCCACUUGUAGAUGAUAAACUAAAAGUACUACCAACUUCCCAAACGAUUAUGUGUACUUGCUGAAUGAGCUCAAAUCGAGCAAAUGGCGAGUAGGUAUAAAAGACCGGCUCGCUCAAAAGGAGCAAUUAAGCCAUAGUGAUGAAUUAUCCAACUCACUCGAAUCUUGUUGACAUCAAAGACAGAUGCAUCUCUCUUCAAGUCGAAGGGAUUAGCCCAAUCGAACCUUAACCCAUUAAACAACUCAAAAAAUCUAGAUUCCAAAACACAAGAUUCGACUGCAAGCCUUACAUCAACAUCUCUUCCCCAAUGGGAAAGAGAAGGCUGCUCUAGAUGCCCGUCUGCCAUCAACGCUUGAGAAUCCCAACAAUAGCCAAAAGACUUAUUACAACACACUGAACCUCAAAGCACAGUACAAUCAGCCAGCACAUCAAACAAAAGAAUAACCUUGACCAAUAUUCAAUAGCAUGCAACUCAGAUCCGUGAGUCUGGAGCCAAGAAUAGAGUUGCAAUCACACUUGCAGAGAGAAAACACAACAAAAGAGCUGAGAAGGAACCCAUUGUUACAGAAAGGAAAGGAAAACCUUCAUAAUCAACUCAAGUACCCAUCGCCAGAACCAGCCAAAAACCACAAGAUCAAAAGACACCAAGGCACUAACAAGAAAGCAGUCCUCUGCAAGACAACACCAUUUGCCUACUGCGGUGUUCAAGACGUGGAAGGACAAAUGAAGAAACCCAAAGCACCAAAACAACCGAAAGGGCACAAGAAGCAGCUCCCUCGUCAAAGCUCAAUUCACUGGAGACAAAAAACAAACAUGAAAACUUUUUACAUCCCCACCUCAUAGAGGGAGCAAACCCAUUUCUAGGCUGAGGUGAGAAAAGCCACCCCCACAGCUAUUGGGUAGGGAUGGCCGGCGUUUCCUGCAGAAAAAGGCUAACUGCCUAGAGAAGGCUAACUGUCUAGAGAGAGUUUAAUGAGUUGUGAUGUUCACUAACAAUGAGACUGAAAUAUCUCUUACCAUCCAAUUAAAUUCGGGAUAAAAAGAUCUUUUUUCUUAAAGCUCGCCAGAUCUUAAUCUCAGUGAAGUUGCCGGUAAUUUCCUUAUGGCCCUCUCAAGGGCAAACAACAGAGACUGGUUUCCCAAGAAAACAUUAGAUUUGCACCUCUUUGGUUCUCUGCGAGGGAUUAGAAACAAAUGUGGCUAAACUGAUCUAAUGAUUUAGUGCUCAAAGAAGCAAAAGAAGACGCUUGCUAUUUCUGUCACCGAAAGCGAUUCAUUAGCAUCUUCCACAAGAUUCAUCAGAUUGCAGAUAUAUGACUUGUUGUCAACAAGUAAUAUACCACCAACUUUCUAUUUUGCAUUUGUAUUAUGAACCUUCGUAGACCAUGUUACCCAUCAACCAUUGAAAAUAAUCAAAUAGUGACCAACUCCAAUUAUGUAUGGAGCUCGACCAUAUAAUAUUAAUUUUCUUUUUUUAGGUCUCAUCGAACACUAGUAAGAAUAAACAACGAUGAGUCACCCAUAUUUAUUUGGCAGCAUAGCUUCAGCUUCUGUUAUUUAUUUCUUUAGCCGUUCAUUCUUCAAUAGACGAUAUAUAAUUCCUCAGGUUCGCAUUUAAAUGCCACCGAAUUCUCAUCUUAGUUCUCAAUGCAAAUCCAUGACAGCUUU